UACGGGGGGUGCGAGCGUUGUCCGGAAUCACUGGGCGUAAAGGGCGCGUAGGUGGUCUGAUAAGGGUGUGGUGAAAGUCCGGGGCUCAACCCCGGAUCUGCCGUGCCGACUGUCAGACUCGAGGACUGUAGAGGCAGGCGGAAUUCCUGGUGUAGCGGUGAAAUGCGCAGAUAUCAGGAAGAACACCCGUGGCGAAGGCGGCUCUCUGGGACGGUACUGACGCUGAGACGCGAAAGCGUGGGGAGCGAACAGG
rnacentral:rRNA from 1 species